GUAGGUGGCAAGCGUUGUCCGGAAUUAUUGGGCGUAAAGCGCGCGCAGGUGGUUCUUUAGGUCUGAUGUGAAAGCCCCCGGCUCAACCGGGGAGGGUCAUUGGAAACUGGGGAACUUGAGUGCAGGAGAGGGAAGUGGAAUUCCACGUGUAGCGGUGAAAUGCGUAGAUAUGUGGAGGAACACCAGUGGCGAAGGCGACUUUCUGGCCUGUAACUGACACUGAGGCGCGAAAGCGUGGGGAGCAAACAGGGAUUAGAUACCCUGGUAGUCCACGCCGUAAACGAUGAGUGCUAAGUGUUGGGGGGGUUUCCCGCCCCUCAGUGCUGCAGCUAACGCAUUAAGCACUCCGCCUGGGGAGUACGGUCGCAAGACUG
rnacentral:rRNA from 1 species